rnacentral:rRNA from 1 species
CCUACGGGUGGCAGCAGUGGGGAAUAUUGCACAAUGGGGGAAACCCUGAUGCAGCGACGCCGCGUGAGUGAAGAAGUAUUUCGGUGUGUAAAGCUCUAUCAGCAGGGAAGAAAACCUCGGUACGUGAUUUCCACUCCGCGGCCAACCACGUGCCAGCAGCCGCGGUAAUACGUAGGGGGCAAGCGUUAUCCGGAUUUACUGGGUGUAAAGGGAGCGUAGACGGCAGGACAAGUCUGGAGUGAAAUGCCGGGGCUUAACCCCGGAACUGCUUUGGAAACUGUGGAGCUAGAGUGCAGGAGAGGUAAGUGGAAUGCCUAGUGUAGCGGUGAAAUGCGUAGAUAUUAGGAGGAACACCAGUGGCGAAGGCGGAUUACUGGACAGUAACUGACGCUGAGGCGCGAAAGCGUGGGGAGCAAACAGGAUUAGAUACCCGAGUAGUC